GUUGAAGUCGACUCUAUACGGUUGAAAAUAAAAGUCUUUUUCUAGCGGUGGAUCGAUAUGACAUUGUCAUAUUGUCUAUUGAAACUAUUGGAAAAUAUCAACAUUAUGUAUUACGUUUUCAGUCGGCAAUUUUAAAAUAUAAAGGUUUACUAUUGUCAUUUGCAAAUGCCUCCCAAAAAGCAACCGGAGAAAGGAGGAAAAGCGGGUGGGAAUGCAAAAGCUAGUGGUAAAUCGGGUGGCGAUGCUAAAGAAUCGGCGUCAAAAGAAAAGAAAGGUGGAACAGCUGUCAAAGUGCGUCACAUACUGUGCGAGAAGCAGUCAAAAUGCUUGGAAGCUUUGGAAAAAUUAAAAGCCGGUCAAAAAUUCCCGGAUGUAGCAGCCGCGUACAGUGAGGAUAAGGCACGACAAGGCGGGGACCUCGGCUGGAUGACCCGGGGUUCUAUGGUGGGUCCAUUUCAGGAUGCUGCAUUUGCCUUGCCUAUAUCAUCAGUGACAAGUCCAGUGUAUACUGACCCACCAAUAAAAACCAAGUUUGGCUACCACAUCAUAAUGGUAGAAGGGAAAAAAUGACCGACAUGGUGUUUGAGUUUGAAUAUUUCUGGGCGAUACUUUUAUUGUUUGUUAUGGAGAGGAUAUGUUGCUUGCAGGAGCAAUUUGACAAGGACUUUAUAUUGUUACCUGAUCCACAGAGAUCUAAUGAGUCCUUUGAUUUAGAUAUGGAGGACUUUGCUAAUAGAGAUUUUGGUUUAAAGCUCAGUUUCCUCCGGUUGUGUCGGAUAAUGCAUGUGUCAAUGUUGCUGACACUAAUUUACUUCUGCAAUGUAUCCCUUUGGUUUAUAAUGAGCAAAAAAGCAUCACCCAGAAAUAUGAGAUACAAAUUCAGAGUGACCAUGCCUUGAUGCUUUUGUUAUAAAAUAUUAUGAUAUUACAACUUUGAUGCAUUUAUAUAUUAUUAACAAACAAAGCCUUAAUUAUACUUAAUUAGGAAGGUAGUGGUUCUCUUGGAUGUGAUAUCCUAUUUUCGAUUUAUUGUACAUAAAUGCUUUGAAUAAAUACAUCAUUGUGAAUGCAUUUUGUAAGGAAAUAAAACAUUGAUUUAAAAUUUGUUAUA
rnacentral:misc_RNA from 1 species